UCUGUCUCCACGUCCUGCUUCAUCAGCCGCUCAGCUUUCCACUCUGAACUCUGCUGGGACAUAAGAUCAGGCAACGGCUCCUCGGAGUUUUCAGGGAGCGGCCCAGCUCAAAGCAAUGAAGACGUACGAUUGGAAACGACUGAACACGGAGGGGAGGGAGAAAAAAAAACAAACUUUAUUUUUGAUAUUCCUGCUCAUAAAUCACGUCAUGAUGCAAACUGCAACCAUUCCGCUAAAUGCAUCUACCCCCUCCAAGUGAAACUGUGGAGCAAAGUCCUUCUUGUUUUGGUCAGCCACCAUGUAUGGAAAUGAAGCGACAACGAUGACGACUAGUCAUUACAUUGCGCUUCCUUUAGGAAACGAGGCGCUGACAGAUGAGGUUUUGUCGUGAAGGAAGGCACGCAUUACCGAUUCUUCACUGCAGGAUGGUUCUGCUUUAACGAGAGACAGACAAUAGGACCAUCUCACAUGGGUCCAUGCAGAAGUCUGCAUUCUGGGCUAAAUGAGAAGAAUGCAGUCGUGCUUUGUUUUUAGGAUGUCACGUGAAAACAGGCCACAGUCUAGACCUGCUGUUUCACUUUUAAUGUCGACCCAAAAAAAAAAUUAAGAAAAGAAACCUGCAGCAAGUUUAGUGUUCGUUUAUUGCAGUUUAUGAAAAGAAAAAAAAAAAUCAGAAUUAGUCAAAAGUCUUUCAUAACACAGAAACGGAGCUUCUGAAAUAAAAUACAAUAAAAUAAAAAUAAAAACACAAAGGUCAUUGCCCAGUGAGUGUCUACGAGGCCCUACGAUGCACAACGCUAACGAUCAUACAUUAAUGCUAAAAUGCACAUUCUUACAGAAUGACUUGUCCGUACGUCUACAAGCUAAGCUAACAUGUUGGCUAAAGGCGAAAAACAAACAAACAAAAAAAAAAACUUAAAAUAGCGCAUCAUAUCCUGGAAAACAACAGCAGGGUAACUUUUUUCUCAAAAGAAUAAAAAAAAAAAUCUUGAUCAUAAAAGAUUUUGUACAGCAGGCAUUGCUUUGUUUAAUCAUCUUCAUGAUGUGUUCUUCCGUACGGAAGCUAGUAGUACGAUGGCUGAAAUUUAAAGGACUUCAGUUAAAGCAAUAAAUACCCGACCUUCUCCAAACUUCACCCACAUAACUUUUAGGAAAAUAAAAGCCCCCAAACGUUUACAUGUAAAAAUUGGGGGGGAGGG